ACGGGUGCGUAACGCGUGGGAAUCUGCCCUUAGGUACGGAAUAACUCAGGGAAACUUGAGCUAAUACCGUAUAAUGACUCCGGUCCAAAGAUUUAUCGCCUGAGGAUGAGCCCGCGUCGGAUUAGCUAGUUGGUGAGGUAAAGGCUCACCAAGGCGACGAUCCGUAGCUGGUCUGAGAGGAUGAUCAGCCACACUGGGACUGAGACACGGCCCAGACUCCUACGGGAGGCAGCAGUGGGGAAUAUUGGACAAUGGGCGAAAGCCUGAUCCAGCAAUGCCGCGUGAGUGAUGAAGGCCUUAGGGUUGUAAAGCUCUUUUACCCGGGAUGAUAAUGACAGUACCGGGAGAAUAAGCCCCGGCUAACUCCGUGCCAGCAGCCGCGGUAAUACGGAGGGGGCUAGCGUUGUUCGGAAUUACUGGGCGUAAAGCGCACGUAGGCGGCUUUGUAAGUUAGAGGUGAAAGCCCGGGGCUCAACUCCGGAAUUGCCUUUAAGACUGCAUCGCUAGAAUUGUGGAGAGGUAAGUGGAAUUCCGAGUGUAGAGGUGAAAUUCGUAGA
rnacentral:rRNA from 1 species